rnacentral:rRNA from 1 species
GACGAACCGUGCGAACGUUAUUCGGAAUCACUGGGCUUAAAGGGCGCGUAGGCGGGUCUGAAAGUCAGGGGUGAAAUCCCACGGCUCAACCGUGGAAGUGCCUCUGAUACUUCAGGUCUCGAGGGAGGUAGGGGCGUGCGGAACUUCCGGUGGAGCGGUGAAAUGCGUAGAUAUCGGAAGGAACGUCGGUGGCGAAAGCGGCGCGCUGGACCUCUUCUGACGCUGAGGCGCGAAAGCCAGGGGAGCGAACGGG